rnacentral:lncRNA from 1 species
UGAAAUCCAGGAAUCUGUCUCCAGGUGAAUGUAAUCUGCUUCCCAGGACUUUACCCAGAGGCUGUGUUCCCCAGGUGGGCAGAGUUCCAUUGAUCUCUGGCCCAGAGAGUCUGGCCUCUGCAGGAUUCUCAGGUCUCUGUGAGUACCUCCCGUUUCGUAGAGAACUUUUAAGAGAAUUUGUGAAAGAGGCUCCUUCUGGGAGCAGUUUGGGAGUCCCAUGGAAGAAAGAAAAAUACAUGAGUCUUGGCAGCCAUGGUAUUCUUAUUUUUAUCCAAAUGGGUUGGAAGUAUGUUUGAAAACUUGAGUGCCACUAUGUCAUUAGGAGUCUACCGUAGAGUUAUUGAAUUGGCGCUCCUACUACAAACGAGAGUGUUUGUACUACUACUGUAGAGUGUAUGUGUGCAAUAAGUUGAUGAAUUCAUUUUCUUGGCAUAUGGAAGAGCCAACACAAGCAGCUUGGUAAUCAUUGGGUGCUAUUAUAGUUGUUUGUCGUGAGUGCUAUUUUCCAGGAGAUGGAGCCAGUUAGGUUUGGUUUAUCUACUGACUAUCAAACGUUGCUCUUCCCUUGUAGACCUUCAGCAAAAGCAGGUACUUGGAAGCCACAGGCUCACCUUCUCUAUCUACUCAAUAAUUACUAACAAAGAGACCUCCAUAAGGGAGCAUUUGGCUGUUAUCGAUAAAUGUACCAAUUAUUAAAUAAUUAGUCUCCAAGCCAUUCGGUGAUGCCUGCAGCAUCACUAGAGAAUUGUGUCGCGUCACUUUUUACUUCCCUCUGGGCGGGGCCUUUUCAGACUCCCCCAGUCCUGGAGGCAAGCUCAUCUUUCUCUCUAGUUAGUGACUUUUGCCCCCUAGUCGGGUAAGCACUUCCUAGAUUGAGAAAAGCAGCUACAGUAAACCCCGCUGUUCCUUUCAUUUCGUGACCAAUCACACAUAAGCUCCUUGUAUUCUCAAUUUCACGCAAUUCUCCCAGAUGCUAUAGAGUUUUUCUCACUGUUGCCAGUGGAUAUCAUCCAGACAGUGAGUCCAUAUCUUACGGUUUUGUGCAAUCAUUGUUGUAUUGUAGUCCUAAGACUCAUUAUAGUGUAUUUUUGAUAUUUUUGAAAUGUGUUAAAUUUUUUAAUUCAAUAAUAUGAGCCAGAGCAUGUUGCAGCAAAUCUAUUGUUUGUAAAAAAUAACAAUAAUAAUAAAUUAAAU